rfam:Triticum aestivum genome assembly, contig: Triticum_aestivum_CS42_TGACv1_scaffold_145843_2BS
CAACUACUCCCUCUGUCCCAAAUUUCUUGUCUUAGAUUUGUCUAGAUAUGGAUGUAUCUAAUACUAAAAUGUGACUUGAUACAUCCGUAUCUAGACAAAUCUAAGACAAGAACUUUGGGAUAGAGGGAGUACUUU